GACAGAGGAUGCAAGCGUUUAUCCGGAAUCAUUGGGCGUAAAGCGCGCGUAGGCGGCCAGAUAAGUCCGGUGUGAAAGCCACAGGCUCAACCUGUGAAUGCCGCUGGAAACUGUCUGGCUAGAGUCCGGGAGGGGCGAGUGGAAUUCUUGGUGUAGCGGUGAAAUGCGUAGAUAUCAAGAGGAACACCUGCGGCGAAGGCGGGUUGCUGGGCCGACACUGACGCUGAGGCGCGAAAGCUAGGGGGAGCGAACGGG
rnacentral:rRNA from 1 species